rnacentral:rRNA from 1 species
CCUACGGGAGGCAGCAGUGGGGAAUGUUGGACAAUGGGCGCAAGCCUGAUCCAGCUAUUCCGCGUGUGGGAUGACGGCCCUCGGGUUGUAAACCACUUUAGUAGAGAACGAAAAGGAGCUAUCGAAUAAAUAGCUGUGCGGACGGUACUCGAAGAAUAAGCACCGGCUAACGACGUGCCAGCAGCCGCGGUAAUACGCAGGGUGCGAGCGUUAAUCGGAAUGACUGGGCGGAAAGGGUGUGCAGGCGGCUGAGUAAGACAGAGGUGAAAUCCCCGGGCUUAACCUGGGAACCGCAGAUGUGACUGCUUGGCUAGAGUGCGUCAGAGGGAGGUCGACUUCCACGUGUAGCCGU